UACGUAGGGUGCGAGCGUUAUUCGGAUUUACUGGGCGUAAAGAGUGCGCAGGCGGCCCGUUAAGACAGGUGUGAAAGCCCUGGGCUCAACCUAGGGAGUGCACUUGAGACUGGCGGGCUCGAGUACGGUAGAGGAGGGUGGAAUUCCUGGUGUAGCAGUGAAAUGCGUAGAGAUCAGGAGGAACACCGAUGGCGAAGGCAGCUACCUGGGCCGGUACUGACGCUCAUGCACGAAAGCGUGGGGAGCAAACAGG
rnacentral:rRNA from 1 species